GACGAACGCUGGCGGCGUGCUUAACACAUGCAAGUCGAACGGAAAGGCCAUGCUUUUGUGGGGUGCUCGAGUGGCGAACGGGUGAGUAACACGUGAGUAACCUGCCCUUGACUUUGGGAUAACUUCAGGAAACUGGGGCUAAUACCGGAUAGGAGCUACUGCUGCAUGGUGGGGGUUGGAAAGUUUCGGCGGUUGGGGAUGGACUCGAGGCUUAUCAGCUUGUUGGUGGGGUAGUGGCUUACCAAGGCUUUGACGGGUAGCCGGCCUGAGAGGGUGACCGGCCACAUUGGGACUGAGAUACGGCCCAGACUCCUACGGGACGCAGCAGUGGGGAAUAUUGCACAAUGGGCGGAAGCCUGAUGCAGCAACGCCGCGUGCGUGAUGACGUCCUUCGGGUUGUAAACCGCUUUCGCCUGUGACGAAGCGUGAUUGACGGUAAUGGGUAAAGAAGCACCGGCUAACUACGUG
rnacentral:rRNA from 1 species